rnacentral:lncRNA from 1 species
GGGAGAUACGGUCCCAGAUAUCCUCACAUGUUUGAGGUUUGAGGUACAUUCUAACCCUUUACUUUUGUAGACGAAAGUUCUAUUUGUAAUGGAUAUUGUAAUGAUCCCUUUGGGUCAUUUUGUAACUUUCCUCUUAUAUUCAUUGUUUAGAGAUUUCCUAUAGAUGCCCCAAGUCAUGUAAGGCUUGUUGAAGUUGAUAGUUUGGUUACCAAGUAGUUCGUACGACAUUUAAAGUCAAUUCUCUAUUUUGAAGUCUUUGUAGAUAAGAAUUGGCUAUUGUCCAAAAACAUUAGUCAAGAGACCUCGUCUUAAAAUUAUGAUAGUACUAUCAUCUCCAAGACAUCAAUUUUAGGCUAGGGCACUUUGGUUCAGGUCCCGAGGC